AAGCGCCCAAGCCCACCUCCCUCACACCGCUCCCCGCCCACGCGCCGCGCUAGCAAAAGCCGCCGCCCACCGCCGGUUCGAAAUCCCAAACCGGAAGCCGCCCCGCACGCAGCGGCAACGGAGGGCGCGGAGUGCGGGGGCGCCUCUGCGGGGUCGCUUGGCUUCAGCGGCGCGCGCGGAGCGGCCGCGGCACGGGCAGCCCGGCCGCCUCCCGCUCUCCAGGUAGUCCGAUGGUUCUCCGGAUAAGCAUCCAAAUGGCUAAUUCGAUCGAAGCCACUUGAUGGAAUUAAUAGGACAGGAGAAUACCAGUGGGUGGAGGAGGAGCUGUUGAGGACUUGAGGCGGGACUGGAGCUCGAGAAGGAAAAACAGGGCCUUUUGUACCAUUUGCAACUGCAGUUUGGCCAAACUGAGGUCGACAGUUCAAGCUCCGGCCUCAUACCAAGGGAAAGCUACUGCGCAAGGUGCACUUUGGGCAUUGACUGUGUGGGACCACAAAAUAUACGAACAAGGUUUUUCUGUGCUUUUGUAGCUGUACUCGUCAUAGAAGAUGAUGAAACUCUCUUGGAUCCUCAUCACUUGCCAACUUCGGCAGUUGCUAGUUUCUGCUAAUAUAGUAAGGUAAUCACGUGCAACUGGAUUAUAAUAUAGCAUGAGUCGUGUGGUGAUGAUAACAAACUGUGGUCCUUUAAGUUUUGUAAAGUGCACCUUGCAGUCUUGCACAGUAGCUUUGUUAAGCAACCCUGAACAAUCAUGUUCAUGGGCUGAUAGUACAAGUGUUAACUGAAAACAACUUUGUUUCGUUGUUUGAAAGCUAAUAUUGUGCAUAUAUUUGUUCCGUGCUAGUCAACAUGACAGGGUACUUACUGGUA